rnacentral:rRNA from 1 species
AUGCACGCUGGCGGCGUGCCUAAUACAUGCAAGUCGAGCGAACGGACGAGAAGCUUGCUUCUCUGAUGUUAGCGGCGGACGGGUGAGUAACACGUGGAUAACCUACCUAUAAGACUGGGAUAACUUCGGGAAACCGUAGCUAAUACCGGAUAAUAUUUUGAACCGCAUGGUUCAAAAGUGAAAGACGGUCUUGCUGUCACUUAUAGAUGGAUCCGCGCUGCAUUAGCUAGUUGGUAAGGUAACGGCUUACCAAGGCAACGAUGCAUAGCCGACCUGAGAGGGUGAUCGACCACACUGGAACUGAGACACGGUCCAGACUCCUACGGGAGGCAGCAGUAGGGAAUCUUCCGCAAUGGGCGAAAGCCUGACGGAGCAACGCCGCGUGAGUGAUGAAGGUCUUCGGAUCGUAAAACUCUGUUAUUAGGGAAGAACAUAUGUGUAAGUAACUGUGCACAUCUUGACGGUACCUAAUCAGAAAGCCACGGCUAACUACGUG